UUAAGAAAAUCUAACAUUAAUACUUCGAUUAAACAGAAAUUAUUUUUUCAUACAAUACAACUGCGAAGAUUCCAGAAAGACCUAGUCUUUAGCAUAUAACACUUGUGAUAAGAGGAAGGGGUAAACUAUUGGCAUUAGGUGGUAAUACUUGCAGACUUGGUUGAUGGAUGUAACCAGGUUUCAAGAUAUGAGCCACUGGACUAUCUGGCACAGACUUCAUUCUUUACAGAAUUUGCUGAUUGCAGCGUAAUAUAUUUACACCAAUCGUUUUAUGUUCGCUUUCAAAAUAUGCAAUCCAUAUUCACACAUGCAGUUUUAGCAAAAUCAGCUUCCCUAUAUGAACAUUUAUGGAUCCUUAUAACCCUAAUUUUGAAUAAUUAUGGCUGGUGGGGUACCUAGUGUCAGAUAUUAAAGGAAAAUGGAAUCUACACUGAAAUUGAUUACUGCUGAAAGAAUAUUUGUGCAGAAAUUUGUUCUA